rnacentral:lncRNA from 1 species
AGGAAUGCUAGAACUAAUAUUUUAACGUUUAAUAAAAAUGAUGCUAAAACUAAAUGAUGAUAAACGAUGCUGAUUUUUUUUUUCUUCUUUUGUCUUCAAAAUUAAAUAAACGAUGCUAAAUUUAAAAUAAAUAAAAUGAUGCUAUAUAAAUUAGAGGUCAUUGGUUUUCUUCUUUUUCGUCAACAAAAUACUAUUUAAAUAAUAUCGGUCAACAAAAAAGGCCAAUUGGAGAAAAUUCGUCUCGUGAGAAGGUUAUGACUAAUUGAUUUUUUUUUUCUUUUUUCUGGGUCAACGAAUAUGAAGAUACAUCGGCUCUUUAUUUAGAUUUGAGUUUUAACCCUAAGUGUUGAUUUUUUAUUUUGGUAAUUCACCCUAAGUGUUGAUUAAUGCGUGAUGUAUAAAUAUAUGUUUUUUUUUUUUGGUAAUUCACCCUAAGUGUUGAUUUUUUUUUUUGGUAAUUCACCAUAACAUAUAUUAUACAUGCGUGAGUGUAUCGUAUGUUAGAUUGUUAGGAUAUAUCUAAAGUAUCUGAGUUUAAUGUAAUGUAAUAUAUGUUUCGUUCCAGAAAAAUAAGACUGUCAUUA